rnacentral:rRNA from 1 species
UGGGGAAUUUUGGACAAUGGGCGCAAGCCCGAUCCAGCAAUGCCGCGUGCAGGAUGAAGGCCUUCGGGUUGUAAACUGCUUUUGUACGGAACGAAACGGUGAGCUCUAAUAAAGGGGGUCCAUGACGGUACCGUAAGAAUAAGCACCGGCUAACUACGUGCCAGCAGCCGCGGUAAUACGUAGGGUGCAAGCGUUAAUCGGAAUUACUGGGCGUAAAGCGUGCGCAGGCGGUUAUAUAAGACAGAUGUGAAAUCCCCGGGCUCAACCUGGGAACUGCGUUUGUGACUGCAUAACUAGAGUACGGCAGAGGGAGGUGGAAUUCCGCGUGUAGCAGUGAAAUGCGUAGAUAUGCGGAGGAACACCGAUGGCGAAGGCAGCCUCCUGGGCCAGUACUGACGCUCAUGCACGAAAGCGUGGGGAGCAAACA